CGCGGCGCCUGACGGGGAAAGGCGCGCGGCGGGGCCGUGCUCCCCCCGCUGCCCGGGGCUGCGUACCCCGCUGCGAUCCAGGCCACCGAGCCGUCGUCUCGCCUUGCAAGCGCUGCGGUGGGUGAGGGAAGGCCCGGGGCUCCCCGAGGGCCCGCAGGCACUCUAGGCGGGCAGCCCUGCGGGGGAGGCGGCAGCUGGGAGCAGUGGCGGCGGGACGUGGUCCACGCCUUGUGCCGGGUGCUGGGUACCGGGCGGCAGCGGCGACGGGGUAGAGCUGGCGGCAGGCGCGCCCGCGGCUGUAGGGAAGACGCAGGGUGAAAGGGCGGGAAGCGCGGGGUGCGCGCGGCCUCUUCAGCGCUUCGGAGCCAGCCUGGCGCCAGCGGCGAUGAGGGGCGGCGAUGGGGGGCGCCGCGGCUGACUGCCUCGUUCGCGCCUUCGCUGGACUCACCCCUUGCUCGUAGCGCACGUCUGCACGGAGUAAUCCGCGGGCUCGGGGAAGUUUUCCUGACUGCGACCGUCUGGAGUCGAACACCUUGGCGCUCCCGCCGUGCGCGGCGCGUCCCCCGCGGGAGGAGCCAGCAAGUAACAUUGCAGAGGGUGCAUUUGUUUAGUGCAGACUUGGAACUACAGCAAAAUGGAGCAAUACAGAGGCAGAUAUCUAGCAAGGAAGUUCUUCUCUCUGUGGGCAGAAAAGACAUUUGGAAAAGUUCUCCCUUCCAUAGACAGGCAUUUGCUCCCUAAAUUGGUUUUCAAGGCCUGGAGAGCCUAUGUAUGCCAGCAGCAAGGGAAGUGGAACAAAUAUUUCAUUGCCGAGUCUGACGCAGAGAAGCAAAUGCUGCUCAGGACCUGGCAGCGCUGGGUGCUGUACGCCGCUGUCCGAAGGACGAAGCGUGGGAUGCAGCAGGUGGCACUGGCCUUCAGGGGAAGAAGCUGCCUGCGCACAUCCUGGGCGGUGUGGAGAAGGCGACACCAGCAGAGCUGCACUGGGCGUAAAAUGAAUGUUUUGGCUCUGCAGCAUUGGGCCCAGAGCCUGCAAAUUCGAGCUUGGUUGCAGUGGCAAGAGCUGUACUUGCACAGCCAGAAGGACAAGCAGAGGGAGAUGAGGGCAGUGACUCACCAUCGGCACUGGCAACUGAAGAGAUGCAUAGAAGCAUGGCUGGGGUACUUAAACCUGCAGAGAGCAAAGAAGCUUCAGAAUGAGCUGGCCCAAGAACAUCACUGCAGCAGGGUAGCCCGGCAGUGUUUCUCUGGUCGGCAGCAGUCGUGGGAGUGCAGGAGGAGAAUGCAUGCUCACCGAGAGGGCGUGGAACAGAGAGCAGCAAGGACUGCCUCCCAGCGAGCCUUUGCCCGCUGUAAGCAUUAUGUUGUUCUGUGCGUGGAAGAGGCUCGACAGUGUGAGCUGGCUGAAAACCACUACAGGCAUCAUCUGUUGAAACUUGGGCUCAAGGGUCUCUGUCAGAAUGUGGCCAGCACUCAUCUGCAGCAUAUGAGAAGAAACCUGUCCUGCCGCCAGCGCCAAGUGACACUGCUGCAGAAGUGCUGGAGCUGCUGGAAGUCCCGCUUGGAAGAGAAGGAGGAAGAAGAGCAGCAGGCCUUGACAUCAGUGGCUUGUGCCCAUUAUAGGAGGCUAUUGAUGAGGCAGGUAUUUGACACGUGGGUGCUGAAGGCUUGUGAGCAGAGAGAGUACCAACUGGGGGAGAAGAGGGCUGUGCUUCAUUUUGAAAGGCGGCUGUUGUGCUGUUCCUGGGGCACAUGGUGUGGAAGGGCAGCUGCACAUCUGGAGGAGCAAGAAGGCUUGCUUUGUGCAAGGGACCACUACAGUAACCUGCUGCUGCUAAAGGCUUUUUGCCUCUGGAGGCAAAACACUCAGGAGAGAACUACAGAGAGACUCAAGUUGAUGCAAGCAUUAAGAUUUCACAACUUGAAGUGCCUGCAGCAGAGUUGGGACAAAUGGAGGGAGUACGUGGGAUGUCAGCGUGAGAAGUGGAGGAAGUUGGUUCAGGCAGACAUGCACUAUCAGCACACGUUGCUGGGCAGGAUGCUGGCAGCCUGGAAGAGCUACCAAGGCAACAUUCAUUGCAUUCUGCAGCAAGCAGCUGAGCAGGAGCAGCAGCGCAGGAGGCUACUGCUGCGACAACUUCUGCAUACAUGGAGAGAAAAUGCCCUUGCUCUUAUACAUGAAGCUAAGGCAGAUGAGCACUACAGAAGAGCAGUCAUGGCAAAGGUGUUGCUGCAGUGGAGACGUGCUGCUCUGCUGCAAGCACAUUGCCAGCAGCAGAAGGUGACUGCUGUGCUGGAGGCCAGAAAACGUCUCGAUAUAGCCCGUUUACAGACCCUCUUUCUUCACUGGAAGGAAUUAACUGGGGAGUCUCUGAUGCUGAGGGCUCAGCUGCACAGGGCUGUACAGCACCACCAGCAGCACCUACUCCAGAAGUACCUGGUGAAAUGGAAGAGACAUCAUCAUCAGUGCCUUAGGAAAGUGCUGCUACAGAGACAGGGAGAUCAGCUAAGGACUCGUAGGCUUUGCUCUGCUUCCUUCACGUGCUGGAGGACACGGCUGUUGCAGCAGCGAUGGGAAAAGCAGAAGGCAGUGCAAGCAUUGUGGCACUGGUCCCUUUGGUUGCAGAGAAAGGUAUUUGAUGCUUGGCUCAGGUUUGCAAAGGGCCAACAGCAGGAGAAAUCUCACGCUGAAAAUACCACAGGAGCUUACCACCCUGCUCUUCUGAGGGAAAGGGUAACCCCUGCCUUGAGAUACAGCACUGACAGGGAACGGCUGCAGGGACAGCUCCAGGUCCAGCACCAGCUGAAGGCAGCCUGCAGCCUUCACCACUCUGGGGAUCUUUGUGCCAUGCUGUGGAGGCAGAAAGCUGUCACCAAGAACUUUAAUUCUUGUCCUUUUCUGCCACCUCUGAAGAAGCAAGUGACCUUUGGAGUGCCUGAUGUCAGCCCUGAGACAAGAGAACACUCAGCAGAGGAAAAGCCAUGCAGUCGCCUACCUAUUCAGCUUGCUCCUUGGGGCUCAGCUCUCAGGGACCCGUCAGAGGCACCCUUUCACCAAACAGCUGUGAGCAGAUGCUCUGCACAGAGUGGGGCCUUAGUGAGAGCAGCUCAACUGGAAGAAAGCCUGUCUGGAACAGGCAGUGCCACUGCCUCCUGCCCAGUGCUCCUGCCUGCUGCUUUUACGCCUGCACCGCUGUGGGCAAGUGAUGUGCACUGGGCUGGGCCCAGCCCACAGCUGUGGUCUCCUUCACCUCUCCUGCCCCAGAUGAAAGCUGGAGCAGAAGUGAGAGGAGGUCAGCCUGUGAGUGGUCUCAAAGGAGCCCAUUUCCAAGACUCUCAACAGGGCUCUGUGAAGUGGCAACCAAACAUGCAGCCACAUUUGUUGUCACCUGAAGACUUGUUGGGGAAAUGGAGCCACCAGACUGCAGCUGCAGGGGAGGAGAGGGAGUGUGGUUGCAGAGAAGCCAUGGUGUUGGAGAGGAAGCUGGAGAUUGAGCUCUGGCACAUCCAGCAGCAGAUGCAGUACUACUUCAGCAGGAAGCAAGAACUCAGGUCCUGUCAGCAACAGGCAGAGAUUCUGCAGAAGUGGCUAGAAAUGAGCAUGCAGCCAGGAUGGAUGUUCAAGGGCCUGGAUGGUGUACAAGGGGCUGAGGAAGAGUUGGAUCAGUUACAGGCAAGGAUCAGCACCCUCAGCAAAGCACAAAGGACAGAGAGGCAGCAUGUGCAGCUCCUGCUUGCCCGCCUGCGCCACAUCCAGGCUACUCUGGAUCUGUAACACAGCUGAACUAGCAGUGCAGCACCCGUGUGGGACACUGCAUCCCUUUGUGGCAGGGGAGGUGCAUACAAAGAAGUUUUGCUUCAGGAAAUCAGAGCUGGCCAAAGGCUACUGUCUCCUUGAAGCAGCAGAAAAGUAGCUCAAGCAAGGACGUUACAGAAGAACCCUUUCAGAGCAUGAAGGCAGGUGUCUUAGGCCAGUCCAUUCCUACCAGCUCUGGACAGCAGUCAGCUCUAACUGUGUCAAGUGCCUGGACUUGAAACAGUUUCUUGUCUAAAGACAAUUGAUACAUUCCUUUGAAACUCAAUUCCCCUUCAGCGAUUGGGCACCAGUUUUAGUGGGUGCCACAUUUCAACAGAUCCAGGCUGUUAUUUUUAACUCUCCUUGAGGUGAAGUUACAAAGAGGCUCUGAAGUUUUGCUGUAGGAUGAAGCUUCAGCAUAGAGCCUUCAGCCCCCAGCACAGUCCUAGUACUAGGUACAAGGGCAGGAGUCAGAGCCCUGUGGGGUGUUUGUUUUUUGACUAAGAUGGAAUUUGUGCCAGUGCAUUUCCGGAUGGCCCAGUUGACAACUUGGGAUUACUUCCAUAAUUCACAAUACUUUUAUCGGCAGUCAGUGAAUAGGGCAUUGGUCCUGAAGCAUCUGAAACUCUUCCAUAAAUAAAGGAACUAACUCUUCCAAGAA